rnacentral:rRNA from 1 species
CAGUAGCCACGGUAAUACGAAGGGGGCUAGCGUUGUUCGGAUUUACUGGGCGUAAAGCGCACGUAGGCGGACUUUUAAGUCAGGGGUGAAAUCCCGGGGCUCAACCCCGGAACUGCCUUUGAUACUGGAAGUCUUGAGUAUGGUAGAGGUGAGUGGAAUUCCGAGUGUAGAGGUGAAAUUCGUAGAUAUUCGGAGGAACACCAGUGGCGAAGGCGGCUCACUGGACCAUUACUGACGCUGAGGUGCGAAAGCGUGGGGAGCAAACAGGAUUAGAUACCCCCGUAGUCCCUGUCUCUUAUAC